UACGUAGGGGGCAAGCGUUAUCCGGAAUUACUGGGCGUAAAGCGCACGCAGGCGGUUCGCCAAGUUUGGAGUGACAGGUGUCGGCUCAACCGACAAAGGACUUCAAAAACUGGUGAACUUGAGGACGAGAGAGGAACAUGGAACUCCAGGUGUAGUAGUGAAAUGCGUAGAUAUCUGGAAGAACACCAAUGGCGAAGGCAAUGUUCUGGCUCGUUUCUGACGCUCAGGUGCGAAAGCCAGGGGAGCGAACGGG
rnacentral:rRNA from 1 species